UCCCCAGUGGCUCAGAUGGUAAAGAAUCUGCCUGCAAUGUGGGGGACCCGGGUUCGAUCCCUGGUUUGGGAA
rnacentral:tRNA from 1 species